rnacentral:rRNA from 1 species
AUACGUAGGUGGCAAGCGUUGUCCGGAAUUACUGGGUGUAAAGGGAGCGCAGGCGGGACAGCAAGUUGGAUGUGAAAUACCGCAGCUCAACUGCGGAGCUGCAUCCAAAACUGUUGUUCUUGAGUGGAGUAGAGGUAGGCGGAAUUCCGAGUGUAGCGGUGAAAUGCGUAGAUAUUCGGAGGAACACCAGUGGCGAAGGCGGCCUGCUGGGCUCUUACUGACGCUGAGGCUCGAAAGUGUGGGGAGCAAACAGGAUUAGAUACCCUAGUAGUCCACGCCGUAAACGAUGAGUACUAAGUGUCGGGAAACCGGUGCUGAAGUUAACACAUUAAGUACUCCGCCUGAGUAGUACGGUCGCAAGGCUGAAACUCAAAUGAAUUGACGGGG